UACGGGGGGGGCGAGCGUUGUUCGGAAUUACUGGGCGUAAAGGGUUUGUAGGUGGCCUGCUAAGUCAGACGUGAAAUCCCUCAGCUUAACUGGGGAACUGCGUCUGAUACUGGCGGGCUUGAGGACAGGAGAGGAACGCGGAAUUCCAGGUGUGAGCGGUGAAAUGCGUAGAUAUCUGGAGGAACACCGGUGGCGAAGGCGGCGUUCUGGACUGUUUCUGACACUGAAAAACGAAGGCCAGGGGAGCAAACGGG
rnacentral:rRNA from 1 species